rnacentral:miRNA from 1 species
AGGGGAUUUGCAUGGACUGCACU